rnacentral:misc_RNA from 1 species
UCGUAACAAGGUUUCCGUAGGUGAACCUGCGGAAGGAUCAUUACCGAGUGCGGGUCCUUUGGGCCCAACCUCCCAUCCGUGUCUAUUAUACCCUGUUGCUUCGGCGGGCCCGCCGCUUGUCGGCCGCCGGGGGGGCGCCUUUGCCCCCCGGGCCCGUGCCCGCCGGAGACCCCAACACGAACACUGUCUGAAAGCGUGCAGUCUGAGUUGAUUGAAUGCAAUCAGUUAAAACUUUCAACAAUGGAUCUCUUGGUUCCGGCAUCGAUGAAGAACGCAGCGAAAUGCGAUAACUAAUGUGAAUUGCAGAAUUCAGUGAAUCAUCGAGUCUUUGAACGCACAUUGCGCCCCCUGGUAUUCCGGGGGGCAUGCCUGUCCGAGCGUCAUUGCUGCCCUCAAGCCCGGCUUGUGUGUUGGGUCGCCGUCCCCCUCUCCGGGGGGACGGGCCCGAAAGGCAGCGGCGGCACCGCGUCCGAUCCUCGAGCGUAUGGGGCUUUGUCACAUGCUCUGUAGGAUUGGCCGGCGCCUGCCGACGUUUUCCAACCAUUUUUUCCAGGUUGACCUCGGAUCAGGUAGGGAUACCCGCUGAACUUAAGCAUAUCA